rnacentral:rRNA from 1 species
UACGUAGGGGGCAAGCGUUGUCCGGAUUUAUUGGGCGUAAAGGGCUCGUAGGCGGCCAACUAAGUCAUACGUGAAAUCCCUCGGCUUAACCGGGGAACUGCGUCUGAUACUGGAUGGCUUGAGUUCGGGAGAGGGAUGCGGAAUUCCAGGUGUAGCGGUGAAAUGCGUAGAUAUCUGGAGGAACACCGGUGGCGAAGGCGGCAUCCUGGACCGAUACUGACGCUGAGGAGCGAAAGCCAGGGGAGCAAACAGG